AAUGAACGCUGGCGGCAGGCCUAAAACAUGCAAGUCGAACGCCAUAGCAAUAGGGCGAGGCGCACGGGUGAGUAACAUAUGGGAAUAUGCCUUUUGGUACGGAACAACGAUUGGAAACGAACGUUAAUAACGUAUGGUAGAUCCGGAGACAAGAUUUAUCGCCAAAAGAUAAGCCCGCACUAGAUUAGCUAGUUGGUAAGGUAAUGGCUUACCAAGGCGACGAUCUAUAGCUGUUCUGAGAGGAAGAUCAGCCACACUGGGACUGAGACACGGCCCAAACUCCUACGGGAGGCAGCAGUGGUGAAUAUUGGACAAUGGGCGCAAGCCUGAUCCAGCCAUGCCGCGUGAGUGAUGAAGGCCUUAGGGUUGUAAAGCUCUUUCACCGAUGAAGAUAAUGACGGUAGUCGGAUAAGAAGCCCCGGCUAACUUCGUGCCAGCAGCCGCAGUAAUAC
rnacentral:rRNA from 1 species